AGCGCGAGAAUGCCAAGCUGCGUCAGUGCAACGAAGAGCUGCGCGACCAGCUGGAACGACGCUGUGGAGCGGCGAGCGGCGCGCCGGCACGAGGACGUCCGAGCUCUGCCGCCACGAGUCCCGCAAGUCAGCCACCCGAUUCGUCGAACCCUGUCUUCGUGACCGACGAUCAAGGUACCUUCUUCUUUCGGUCGGUCCAGAGUACGCACCCCGGGAGACAGACCAAGCCACCUCUCUUCAAUCCACAGUGAAGAUUCGCCCCUGUUCAACGCCAUGAUAACUUUCUGAAUUAAGAAAUCAUUUUAAUGUUCGCUCGUCUUCUUUCUUGUACGUAGCAACAAUUUUCUUUAGUCCUGUGGUAAGAACGUGGUCAGUAAAUUACCCAUCGUGCGCUGCGAAACGUAGGCUGUUUAGCACUCAUAAAUCAUUAUUAAAGUGUGAUCGGUCAUACCGGAUCACUUUCAUCGUAUCA